ensembl:lncRNA
AUGAUGAUGAAACUCCCCUGACAUUAGCACAGUAGUAGAGAUAUGAUCUGAAAUAUCAACAGUCUGUGUCUUUAGAAGUUGGGAACAGGCAAACAGGGAACAAGCAAAGGUUGUUGUUAUUCCUGCUUUCAGAGAAUACAGGAAAGGAAAAAACAUUAGGGACCAAGCAGCUAAGAACAGGUGGAACAAAUUUCAGUGCAGAUUAAAAAAUUAAGGGAAGUAUAACAGAGCUGGUUUCACCUGAAGAUAGUAAUUACUAACUGAUAGCAAAUGGAUUGUGUGGUUCAAUUUUCCAGAGCAGCAUCAAAAUUCUGAAGUGUCUGUAUAGUUUCAUAGGGUGGAGGCAUGGGUCCUUCUGCUCGUUUGGUUUGGAUAACUUGUGGGUCAUUCAGAGAAAAUGGCUAUGGACUUUGUGAGGAAGCUUUUUCCAAAAGCAGGAUUGAGAAAGCUGUAAUUUCCUGGAUCCCUCUUCUUGCCCUUUUUGAAGAUGUGAGUGACGUUUCCUUUUCUCCAGUCUUCAUGCACUUCUUCCAGUUGCCACAAGCAAGCAAAGAUAAGAUUGAGUGGCCUUGCAAUCAUCUUUGCAGCUCCCUUAGCACUUGUGGGCUCAUCCCAUCAUGGCCUAUGGACUUGUGAACAUUUAAAUUUGCUCAAGUGUUUCCUGAUAUGAUUAUCUUCCACCAGAUGCAUAUUCAUUGCUUCAGUCAUUUAGCAUAGCUUCUGGGAUUCCUUUCAUCAAAAAGGAUCCCCUAAAUGACUCACCAGCAUCAGCAAACAAACAGCAAAAUGAAGCCAGAGAAUUGCAUCAGAUAAUUUCUCAUUCCUUGAGUAAAAUAUGCAAAGAUUUAAAAUGCAUGCCACAGACUUCUCAGGAAUUUGCAUCUAUCUGAAGGUUCAUAGCAGGGGAGAUAUCAUUUUGGCAUUUGCUUUUUAUGACAGGUAGAGGAAAAUAAAAGCUUAAAG